GCUCACUCAACGUGGGAAGCCCUGUGAAUCUUCUCUCUGCCUAAACAGAAUGUGAAACUUCCCUGGGACUGUUGGGUUCUGUAUCCUCCCUGCUCUGGUGGGGCUUGAAGUUACGCCUUUCCUGGAUGGACAUGCGGGCUGUGCUAUGUCUGGAGAGGCACCGGGAAUCCAGUCACUGAGGCAUGCUCACCGUGGCUUCAACUGUGGGCAUUGAUUUCUUCCCUGAAACCCUGGAGGAGACACAUCGGGGCUGUUCUCCUGGCUUCUUCAGGCUAUGGUGGGAACAGCUGUUGAGAACAGCAGCCGGGUCUCAAUCGUGGACUGAAGUAAAGCUGGCUGUAGGUCCUCAUCCUGCUGUCCCGUCGCUGCAACGAACCGCAGCUCCUCUCAUCAACAGGGGCUCCUUUCCCACCCUUGGAGGCCGCGCAGCCUCUGACUUGCUUUGGCCGGUAGGAAGGGGGCCUUGCCCAGCCGAGGCCUAAGACGCCGUGAGCUCUUGCAGUUCCCACGAAGCCCUGUACUGUCACGAGCAUCUGCCUGGGGCCCUGAGAGUCUCUGCGGGGCCCAGCUGGCGUGGGAGGGGGCUCGGCAAAGCUAGGUGAAGCCACCCAGCCGAGCCGGCUGAGCAGAUGCAUUCAUUCUCCUCCGCCCCAGCUCAGAGAGCAGCCCUGCCCCAACACCACCUCGACGGUGAGCAGGCGCCAGUGGUGGUGGUUACGUGCACAGAGGUUUGUGGUUGUUUCUUGUGGUUACCACUGUGGCAAUAGAUAACUGAUAAUGGAAACAAUAGCAACUACAGACGCCCUCACUAUAGAAUAUUUAGAGGGCUAAAAAUGUGUAAAUACAGAAAAUCACCCGGAAGCCUACCCUGCAGAGAAAACUAUUAUUAACACUUGGCAGGGGUGCCUUUAUUUUUCUAUAUACUCCUUUUUCAAGUGUAGACAUUAUACGGUAUGUAAUUUUUUUCAUUUAAUGGUAAAAGUUUGUUUUUCAUUUUAAUGAACACUCUUCUUAAAUAUCAGUGUAAUAGCAUGUAAAUAUUGGGUUAUUUGUAUAGUUCAAAAUUUGUAUAAGCAUUCCAAUUUUGGAUAUUUGAAUUUUUAAAAUAUUAAUGCAAUGAACAUAUCAGUACAUAAUAUUUUUGCUCAUAUGCACUUUACUUCUUUCCUUAAGAUGUAUUCUUAGAGAUGGGAGUCCUGGGCCAAAGGCAGGUGGCAGCGUCCCCGUCCUGUACCCAUCCCGCUGCCUUCUAGGAAGCUGGGGCUGGGUCGUGUGCCCACAUCCCAUGGAUGGAGAGUUCUGUUUCACUCACCAUCAGCAGCACAAAGCGUCAUCAUUUGAAAUGUUUCCUUCAUGCUUCUAGAAGAAAGGUGUUUUCAUUUUAACUCCAGUCGCAUGGUGCUCACCUGCUGUGGUGCGUGUCUGUCUCCGCCAGCCGCAGGCACCAGCACGGGAGGCUUGUGUGGCCCAAUUCUGGCAUUGAUAUUUGUGGGAACGUGGGUGGACAGGGCCCGAGCAAAGUUUGCUAGUCCCUGAGAAAACAGCCCAAGAGGACACAUCUCUUCCUCUUCCACUGGCCAUGGUCAGAUCUGAAUGUGACGGUGGGACCAUCGCAGCCUCUCUCGACCCAGGGUCCUGGCUGCCUGAGACGCGCAGAGCUCCUGAACUAACCAACCCUGAGCUCGCCCUGCCCGGAUCUGCACCUCCGUUCUUUAAGGAAAUGCACGUGGUGCUGCUCCAGCCGUCAGGCUUGUGCGUGUUCUCUGCGGCUGGCGCCUCCCGCGUGCCGUCCUGUGGCCUCGCCCUCCUCCUACUGCUGCUCGGCAGCUGGGGGCUUCUCUCCAGGGUCGUGUGAUGGCCUUUUGAAAAAUGUAACCAAUAAACUCAGACACCUGGAAGCUGCAAAGUGUGUA
rnacentral:lncRNA from 10 species